rnacentral:lncRNA from 1 species
CACGGAUUGUUUUAUUGAAAAAGGAAAGGGACGUGUGACCUAAAAGACAUUAGUAGCAGAAUACCCAACUUCGCAAUACUCAUAAUUGGCAAAGACCCAAUUUCAUACUUCAUAGUCAACUUAAAUAAGUUCUCUUUUUUUCUGCUCUCACCAAUGUCACUUUCUCCUUCUACAAUUUCAGCAUUACAUUUUCAGGGUAUCUCCAUGGUGAGGCGAGAUUCCGCAUAAUCACCGUAGAAUAUCCCACGUGGCUACCUUGACUCAACCCAGUGAGCUUAUCAAAAUCCCAUCGCAUGCUCCACCUAUAUAAAUAUAUACACACAUAUUCUGUAACCCUUCUUUCGACAAUUCUCUCUCUGAAAAAAUAUUCGUUCUUUGUGUAUAGAUCAUAUCGAAACGGUGGUGCAAAUUCAAAAACCCUAUUUUCUUGAAUCCCAUUUCUUGAAUUACUCAAAUAUUGCUCUCGUUUUGCUUCAUUUGAAUGGUUAUGAGAUUUUUGUUGAUAGGAAGAGAGUGUUUCUUUGUUGAAGAAAUUCAGGAUUCAAUUUUUUAUGGAGGAACCAAUGAGAAUAAGGUAUGGAAUAGGCUACGCUUUGGCUCCCAAGAAACAAGCCAGUUUCGUUCAGGUUUCUCUCGUAAAUCUUGCUAAAGAGAGAGGUAUCGAUCUCAUCAAGAUCGACCUCGAAAAGCCCUUAAUCGAUCAGGGCCCUUUUGAUUGCAUUCUUCACAAAAUUUACAGUCCCAGUUGGAAACAACAGUUAUCCGACUAUGCGGUAAAGAAUCCUAAUGUCCCUAUUAUUGAUUCCCCCAAUGCCAUUGAGAGGCUGCACAACAGAAUUUCCAUGCUUGAGGUGGUGACCGAGAUAAAUGUUGACUGUGAGACAGGGUCCUUUGGGAUUCCAAAGCAGAUUGUAAUUUAUGAUGCGAAAGCUGCGAAGGAAUUGAAUCUUGAGGCCCAGGGCUUGAAGUUUCCAUUGAUAGUGAAGCCCUUGGUGGCGGAUGGUAGCGCAAAGUCGCACAAGAUGUCCUUAGUUUUUAACAAGGUUGGGUUGAGUGAACUGAAGCCGCCGGUUGUCUUACAGGAGUUUGUUAACCAUGGGGGCGUGAUCUUUAAGGUGUAUGUUGUGGGGGAGUACGUCAAGUGUGUAAAGAGAAAGUCUCUACCAGAUGUGAAUGAGGAGAAUUUGGGAAAUUCUGAGGGGUCACUGUCGUUCUCACAAGUCUCGAAUUUGAAUAGUGUGGAGAGGGCUGAUGACAAGUAUUAUUCGAUGAUGGACUUGGAAGAUGAAAAGACAGAGUUGCCUCCGAUGAGCUUCUUGGUGAAUAUUGCUAGUGGGUUGAGGGCUGCAAUGGGGUUGCAUUUGUUUAACUUUGACUUGAUUAGGGAUUCACAGAUUGGGAAUAGGUACCUUGUGAUAGACAUUAACUAUUUUCCUGGCUAUGCGAAGAUGCCCUGCUACGAGCGCGUUUUGACAGAUUUUUUCUGGGAUAUUUUGAACAAUAAUGAUGAUCUGAAUUUGGAAAGUUUAAAUAUGGGUACUUGCCAGAUGGAAGUUAGAAAGUUGGUUAGUAAUAGUGACUGUAACGAGGAUGAUGAAGCAACAGAUCUUCCUGUAUCUCCAAUAAAGCGGGAAGAAAAAGAGAACGCGUGUUGAAGGGAUACAGUGUCACGUGGCUAGUGGAGGGCUUGUUGGCUGACACAUUGUUCGAUGGAAUUUUCUUUCUGUCGGUUGAUGGCCUUGACGCGAGCCAUAUAUCACUUCGUUUAGAUGGUAGAGUUAGUACAGUGGUUAAUAAUUAGGUUUCUUUGCUUUGGUUCUGCUGCAAUGGGCAUUAAUGGAGUGCUCUGUGUUGAUCAUGUACAUUCAAGUUGUUGCGUUGAGGAUAGGUACUUUUCAAUGGAGAUUAUAGGUAUUUCUCAAAUACUAUGAAGUCUUUAGGAAUGUUAAGUUUUACUUCAAGGAAAAUGUAUUUCCUGGCUUAGUAAACCUUUCUGAUGUUUGGCUUCAGCUACUUCAAACAAUGAAUUGUGCCUUUCUGUCGAUGAUGUUUCCUUUGGUUCUGCCUUCAUUAUGUGUGGUCAAUGGGUUCUCAUCAUUCCUGCUGUUUUAAGAUUGCUCUUACUCCAUGCUUAAACUGAGGUUUGUUGCCUAUUAUUCAUAUAAAAAUGGUACUUGUGAACAUACUAAUAUAUAAAACACCAAUUCAUUUGAGAGAUACUUAGCCUCCAUUUGGGAAGAAUUUAUAAGCUUUAAUUUAUAAAUAGAAAGAAACGAG